rnacentral:ncRNA from 2 species
GACUUAUCAAGAGUGGUGGAGGGACUGGCCCGAAGAAACCCAGCAACCGAUAUAUUUAUAUAUAAGGUGCUAAAUCCUGCAGCGUAAUAGAGCUGAAAGAUAAGGU